rnacentral:lncRNA from 1 species
CUGCAGGAUCUGCGAGGCCCAUUUCAAGCCCCUCCAUCUCCAGGCUCCUCUCGGGCUCUUUCGUAAAUCAAGCUGGGGAUAAAACAGCAUUCCAGGAAGGCGGCGGGCUGACCCUGGCUUUCUGUGGGAAAAGCAGCAAAUGCGCGGUGUCAGCGCCGAAUAAAGCUUGGCGACAUGGCAGGCUAAUUCUCUUUAUAGCUCCGGGGCUGGCCUUUCCCACAGAGGACGUGGUGCCCAGGCUGGCUGGCAGGUCCCGGGGGCCGCAUCCUGCCCGUGGCAGGAGCAGCACCAGCGGCGGGUGGCUCGGGUGUCCCCCGGAGCAAGGCGACCGCGGCGCACGGGCAACGCGCAAGAGCAAGGGCAUGGUGCAGCCUGGGUCAUGCAAAGCUUCCUCGUCUUCGUUUUGGAUCUGCUCCACCAUCGUCCUGCGUGAAAGUGCAUUUUCUGCCACCCUGCUGAGAGUCGUCUCCCUUCCAGGAGCCCACGAAAUCUCUACGCAGCCCCCAGCCCUCUCCUCUGCCCGUCCCUCGGAGCUUCCCUGCGCUCGGGGGCUGUCGGCGAUGCUGCUCCUGGUGCUCAUCUGCUGGGGGGCUGCUAAUGCAGGGGGGUGGGCUUUUCUCCUCCCCAGCAAGUGAGCAAAAUGCAUUUCUUUAGGAAUCGAUGUCCGCUACAUCCUUGAGGCCACUUUAUUCGUAUGCACCCUUUCAAAGCACCUUGCAGGGUAUUUGCCUGAGUCCCUGUCCUGUUGUUUUUUAGAAGCAACCCAAGCUCUCCCAAACCCGUCUCCCAGCCCGCAGGCAGAUCCACCCACCUGUGAUUCCCACAUCCCUCCUGCAGCCUUUUAAAAGACACAUUGGCCACCUGCGGGGUUGGUCACAGUGAUGGACCCCCUCCCCAGAACCAGCCCUUUGUCCAUUUUUUGUGUCCCCAAAUACUUCCUGGGUGACUUUCUGCUGUGGCCUGAUCCUCCCUAAACAAUCCCACUGAACCUUGGUCACCUGCAAGGAACAAACUUCCCUGGUUCUGAUCGGUCGUGAAGGUUUUCC